GACAGAGGUGCCAAGCGUUAGGCGGAAUCACUGGGCUUAAAGCGCGUGUAGGCGGCCCUGCAAGUCGGAUGUGAAAUCCCACGGCUCAACCGUGGAAGUGCAUUCGAAACUGCAGGGCUAGAGUCCUGGAGAGGAAGGUGGAAUGCUUGGUGUAGAGGUGAAAUUCGUAGAUAUCAAGCGGAACACCGGUGGCGAAGGCGGCCUUCUGGACAGUGACUGACGCUGAGACGCGAAAGCGUGGGGAGCAAACAGG
rnacentral:rRNA from 1 species